GGACUACUCGGGUUUCUAAUCCUGUUUGAUCCCCACGCUUUCGUGCCUCAGCGUCAAUCAUACUUUAGUAAGCUGCCUUCGCAAUUGGUGUUCUGUGACAUAUCUAUGCAUUUCACCGCUACUUGUCACAUUCCGCCUACCUCAAGUACAUUCAAGUUCAUCAGUAUCAAAGGCACUGCGACAGUUAAGCUGCCGUCUUUCACCCCUGACUUAAUAAACCGCCUACGCACCCUUUAAACCCAAUAAAUCCGGAUAACGCUCGGAUCCUCCGUAUUACCGCGGCGGCUGGCAC
rnacentral:rRNA from 1 species